ensembl:misc_RNA Metazoa_SRP Metazoan signal recognition particle RNA
GCCAGAUGCGGUGGUGCAUGCCUAUAGUCCCAGCUAUCCAGGAGGCUGAGGUGGGAGCACUGCUUAGCCCAGGAGUUCUUGGCUGUAAUAUGCAUGCCAGUCAGGUGUCUGCACUAUGUUUGGCAUCAGUAUAGUGACCUCCUGGGAGCGUGGGACCACCAGGUUGCCUAAGGAGGGGUGAACUAUCCCAGGCUGGAAAUGAAGCAGGUAAAAACUCCUGUGCUAGCUAGCAGUGGGAUUGUUCCUGUGAAUAGUCACUGCACUCCAACCUGGGCAACACAGUGAGACCCCGUCUCUU